AAGAGCCGCGGUAUAUUGACCGUGCAAAGGUAGCAUAAUCAUUAGGGGUUUAAUUGGAACCUGGAAUGAAUGGUUGAACAAGGGAGAAACUGUCUAAAUAAUGAAGAUUGAAGUUUACUUUUAAGUGAAAAGGCUUAAAUUUAUCAGGGGGACGAUAAGACCCUAUGAAGCUUUAUGAGUGGUUUAUAUUUGAUCAAGGUUAAAAAUAAAAGUUAAAUUUAAACAUUUCAUUUUGUUGGGGUGACAUGAGCAUAAUUAUUGUUAACUGCUUAAAACAGAUACUUUUAUAAUAGAGUUAAAAUGUAAAUGAUCCUUUUUAAAGAUUAAAAGACUAAGUUACUUUAGGGAUAACAGCGUUAUUUCUUUUGAGAGUUCAUAUCGAAAAAGAAGAUUGCGACCUCGAUGUUGAAUUAAAAUAUCUAUAUAAUGCAGCCGUUAUAAAAGAGGGUCUGUUCGACCUUUAAAUUUUU
rnacentral:rRNA from 1 species